rnacentral:rRNA from 1 species
UACGUAGGGUGCGAGCGUUAAUCGGAAUUACUGGGCGUAAAGCGUGCGCAGGCGGUGAUGUAAGACCGAUGUGAAAUCCCCGGGCUCAACCUGGGAACUGCAUCUGUGACUGUAUAGCUAGAGUACGGUAGAGGGGGAUGGAAUUCCGCGUGUAGCAGUGAAAUGCGUAGAUAUGCGGAGGAACACCGAUGGCGAAGGCAAUCCCCUGGACCUGUACUGACGCUCAUGCACGAAAGCGUGGGGAGCAACAGG